rnacentral:rRNA from 1 species
GAUCAGUGGCUCGAGGACGAACGCUGGCGGCGUGCCUAACACAUGCAAGUCGAACGAGGUCCAUCCUUCGGGAGAAGACCUAGUGGCGAACGGGUGAGUAACACGUGAAGAACCUGCCCCGAAGACCGGGAUAACCCUCCGAAAGGAGAGCUAAUACCGGAUACCCCCACCGAACCGCAUGGUUUGGUGAGGAAAUGGAUUCCGCUUCGGGAGGGCUUCGCGGCCUAUCAGCUAGUUGGUGGGGUAACGGCCCACCAAGGCAUCGACGGGUAGCUGGUCUGAGAGGACGAUCAGCCACACUGGGACUGAGACACGGCCCAGACUCCUACGGGAGGCAGCAGUGGGGAAUCUUGCGCAAUGGGCGAAAGCCUGACGCAGCAACGCCGCGUGGGGAUGAAGGCUCUCGGGUUGUAAACCCCUUUCAGCAGGGACGAAUCAAGACGGUACCUGCAGAAGAAGCCCCGGCUAACUACGUG